rnacentral:lncRNA from 1 species
ACGUAUCCGACCCGGGUGUUGGGUUCGGGUCGUGACAGAAUGGUAUCAGAGCAUAGGUUAUGAUUAUUAGGGAUUAUGAUAUAAGUGAUUAGAAUAUUACAGAGUGAUAUUAGAGCUUAGGUUAUGAUCAUUGGAGAUUACGAUAUAAAUGAUUAGGAUGUGAUAGAAUAAUAUCAAAGCUUAGGUUUAAGAUCACUAGAGAUUAUAAAGAGAUAUUAAAACUUUAUGUAAGAUCAGUAGGAUGUGAUAGAGUGGCAUCUGAGCUUAGAACUUAGGUUACGUUCAUUUGGAGACAAUGAUAC